rnacentral:sRNA from 1 species
AUAGAAAGGACUCCUUCAACAUGGAACAUAGAGAUGUGAUUAGAGUUCCUACCGGGCUUCUAUUUACUUAAUUAACAAUAACAAUGAUGAACCUCUUCACAUUGCAAAGCUCAUCCGUUUUGUUAACAGUUUUGGACGAUUUGAGGAAUUCUGCCCUACUGGUUUUGGAAAUCCCAAGUCAUACUUCAACAUUUCAGCGAUGACAUUAUUGAAUUUGCCUUCAAUACUCCAAGAAAAGAGCCAAGAGCAGGACUUUAGACAACAAAGGGGCAAACAAAAGGGUCAAGGCAUAGUCAUGAGCUCCCCAAAAGAGCAACUUGAGGCACUAUUUGGCUGAUCACCUAGGAUUGGUACCUGUAACCACUGCACAUGUAUAGUUUCUUUUUAUAUUACCUUGAAUUGAUGAAAAAUAGU